rnacentral:rRNA from 1 species
AUGGUUGCUAGCAAUUUCAGUCCGACCGAGCAGCAAAUCGAUAAGCAGCCCACGUUCGUUGAGCUGGUGCGUGGCACUGACCGGUGUAAACUGGCUGAUCUGCACACGGAAAAAGUUAAGGCACUCUUGAUUUACGAUCCCAAGAGGAAAGCUGUAGUCCCUAGCCGUUUCUGCAGCUUCCACCUGGCCAGCUUCGACCAUGAUGAAGAAACAAAAGUUCCACUUGGGCCACCAUAUGAAUCUGAUGCGGCUGAUAUGGCGGGUUCAUCCAUCAAUGUCAUCUCCUUGAGGGUUGUUAAAGCUGGCCCUGAGCACACAUACCCGGUCGAGGUUUAUGGUAGAGUUAUUGCGAGGGAUGAGGUUGACUACAAAUCUGUCUUUCUGUUUGAUCGUGAAAGGAAGGAUGCCCAGUUCAUCAAUUCGGAGAAAGAUAUGUUAGCUCUGACAGGUCCACGCCGAGCAUUGGUUACUGAUGGCUUGAUGUGUUUCGAGUUCGAUUUAAAGGUCAAGGGCAAGGGUGGGCCUGAUCGUGAUGUACAGUUCAGCAAAGCUAGUGUUGAAGUCAGUCUUGUGAAAAAACAACAGCUUGGUGAUCGUGCUGAACACUUCAACGGUAAAAUAACAGUUGGGACUACUAGAAAUUAUAGACAGCAUAUGGUUGUUUAUUAUAGUAGUCUGCCUAGUGGGGACUUGGUGACGGAAACUGGCUCCCUUGUGUUGGAUCGUAACCUGUUAGCUGUCCCGCGGCGUAUACGAGACAACACACUCAAGGGAGAUGAACAAGAGACGAUCUAUGUGUGUUUUCUUGGUGCUGGUUCUGAGAUUGAGGAUGAGGAUUAUAUCAGGCCUGAGGAAGAAGAUGAAGAUGAGGAUGACAUUACGUCUGACGAAGAAGGCAGAGAGGAACCUGAUGAAAUGGAAAGCGCGGGUGCAGAGGAGGACGGGGACGACCCUACUAAUCUUGUUGCUCUCAAAUACCCUCUGAGUGAGACUCUGUGCGAAUACGGCUUCCUCAAGCUGAAAGUGAAGGUUCAUUGGACUGCUAUCAUUGAGGCGCCGCUGCAUGGUGAAUUCUUGACAAGAUUGGGUGUCCUCCCAGAAGGUUAUAAGUUGCCUGAUUAUCGACGGGGUUCGGCCGAUGGUUCUUUCUGUGAGUGA